GGCUCCAUGUCACAGAUCAUGGUGCAUUGAGCAGCAGCUGUCAGUCCGGAGAUCUCAAGAUGAAGUCACACACACUGCUCAUCUGGAUGCUAGUCUUUUUUAUGAAGGAUGCCAGCGGGCAGAUUGUGAUGACCCAGACGCCAGAAUCCCUCUCAGUGUCUCCAGGAGACAGAGUUACCAUCAACUGCAAAGCCAGUACAAGCAUCAGCAGCAACAUAGCCUGGUACCAACAGAAAUCAGGACAAGCUCCUAAGCUCUUGUUCUAUGGUUCUUCCACCCGUCCCUCUGGGGUCCCAGACCGGUUCAGCGGCAGUGGGUCGGGCACUGACUACACAUUCACCAUCAGCAGGGUUGAAGCAGAUGAUGCUGGAGAUUAUUAUUGUCAGCAGUAUAACAGCUGGCCUCUCACAGUGAUACAGACCAGCACAAAAACCUCCCUGUUCUGUUUAGUUUCAGACUUUCACUCAAUGUUUCAGCUGCUUCCUGUGCAGCAUCCUUACAGCAUUGCCUCUGCUGCCCUGCAAUGGGGUAGCUGAGUGAGACAGACUUUGGUCACCUCCCUCCACACUCAAGAACUCCCAGUCCUUUCAGGAGCUCACACCAGGCGUCCAGCACUCUUUACUCACCAGUUGCUCCCCAACCACUAACAUGGAUUUGCUCUUCUGAGUUGCAUCCAACUUCCU